AACGAACGCUGGCGGCAGGCUUAACACAUGCAAGUCGAACGCCCCGCAAGGGGAGUGGCGCACGGGUGAGUAACGCGUGGAUAUCUGCCUUUUGGUUCGGAAUAACCCCGGGAAACUGGGGCUAAUACCGGAUGGUUCCUACGGGAUAAAGAUUUAUCGCCAAAAGAUGAGUCCGCGUACGAUUAGCUAGUUGGUGAGGUAAUGGCUCACCAAGGCGACGAUCGUUAGCUGGUCUGAGAGGACGAUCAGCCACACUGGGACUGAGACACGGCCCAGACUCCUACGGGAGGCAGCAGUGGGGAAUAUUGGACAAUGGGGGCAACCCUGAUCCAGCCAUGCCGCGUGAGUGAUGAAGGCCUUCGGGUUGUAAAGCUCUUUUGGCGGGGACGAUGAUGACGGUACCCGCAGAAUAAGCCCCGACUAACUUCGUG
rnacentral:rRNA from 1 species